CCCAAAUACAAAGGCUGACCCAAUUCCAAGGCAGGUCGAUAAUGAAACAUUGUCUCAUACCCAGAGAAAACAACAUCUGUAUUCAGAUGAGCAGCAUGGAAACAGUGAAUAUUUUUAGGAUCUUAGGAGAAGACUAUUAAAUAUUUAAGAAUGGCCUGCAUUUAGAAGUAGAGUGGUUCUUCUUGGUGAAAUGCAUGCUUAGCUGUUCUCAAAGAUUUUUUUUCCACUGUGAAGAAACCAGGCCAUUUGUCUUGGACAGCUUCCCACAUUUUUAUUUUGCUGACUACAGCUUCAUGGUAUUAGCGAGCCAUUUUGACUCCAGGAUUUCUGGGUUUCUGGUUGCCGGUGUUGACCUCAAGAUUUCUACAUAGCUGAGGAUGACCUUGAACUCCUGAUCCUCUUGACUCUGCUUUCUGAGUGUUGGGGUUACAGGCGUGAGCCACCAGACCCCGGGCUCUCCUGUACAGAUGCAGCUGAACUACUUAUUUAUACACACUCCAGUUCUACCAUUCAUUCAUGUAUGGAGGCUGAAGCUGAAAGAGACAUAACUAGAGGAAUACAGCUCAUGAUAGAAAGGAUGCUUUGACGUCCCCUGAGAGCCUCAGAGACCUGGAGUCAGCUACCCCUCCCUCAGAUGACUCGCUCCUGCUGGGAGCAGCUUGCCUAUGGUAGGAGGAGAAACCUUGUAGGUUCUGCAGCGGACCUAAGGCUCAGCAUACCAUCAAGCAGCUCGGUGAGAAACGGCUUGCACAUUUGUUUAAUAUUUUUAGGCAGAUAGUGGGUUUUCGGAAUAAAUGCGAAGAUAAAAAUCAA